rnacentral:rRNA from 1 species
ACGGGUGAGUAACACGUGAGUAACCUGCCCUUGACUCUGGGAUAAGCGUUGGAAACGACGUCUAAUACCGGAUACGACCCGCGAAGGCAUCUUCUUCGGGUGGAAAGAAUUUUGGUCAAGGAUGGACUCGCGGCCUAUCAGGUAGUUGGUGAGGUAAUGGCUCACCAAGCCUACGACGGGUAGCCGGCCUGAGAGGGUGACCGGCCACACUGGGACUGAGACACGGCCCAGACUCCUACGGGAGGCAGCAGUGGGGAAUAUUGCACAAUGGGCGAAAGCCUGAUGCAGCAACGCCGCGUGAGGGAUGACGGCCUUCGGGUUGUAAACCUCUUUUAGCAGGGAAGAAGCGAAAGUGACGGUACCUGCAGAAAAAGCACCGGCUAACUACGUGCCAGCAGCCGCGGUAAUACGUAGGGUGCAAGCGUUGUCCGGAAUUAUUGGGCGUAAAGAGCUCGUAGGCGGUUUGUCGCGUCUGCUGUGAAAACUGGAGGCUCAACCUCCAGCCUGCAGUGGGUACGGGCAGACUAGAGUGCGG